rnacentral:rRNA from 1 species
GAUGAACGCUGGCGGUGUGCCUAAUACAUGCAAGUCGAGCGAACAGACGAGGAGCUUACUCCUCUGACGUUAGCGGCGGACGGGUGAGUAACACGUGGAUAACCUACCUAUAAGACUGGGAUAACUUCGGGAAACCGGAGCUAAUACCGGAUAACAUGUUGAACCGCAUGGUUCAACAGUGAAAGACGGUCUUGCUGUCACUUAUAGAUGGAUCCGCGUCGCAUUAGCUAGUUGGUAAGGUAACGGCUUACCAAGGCAACGAUGCGUAGCCGACCUGAGAGGGUGAUCGGCCACACUGGAACUGAGACACGGUCCAGACUCCUACGGGAGGCAGCAGUAGGGAAUCUUCCGCAAUGGGCGAAAGCCUGACGGAGCAACGCCGCGUGAGUGAAGAAGGUCUUCGGAUCGUAAAACUCUGUUAUUAGGGAAGAACAAAUGUGUAAGUAAAUAUGCACGUCUUGACGGUACCUAAUCAGAAAGCCACGGCGAACUACGU